AAAAAGACAAAUCAUCUGUUUCCGUGUCCAAUGUUUGACAAUCCGUCUCAUUUAAAAAAAAUAUGAAAAAAUUAAAAAGAUAAGUCACGCAUAAAAUAUUAAUCAUGUUUUAUCAUCUAACAACAAUGAAAAUACUAAUUAUAAAAAAAUUUAUAUAAGACGGAUAGUCAAAUGUUGGACACAAAAAUCUAGGGUUUGUCUUUUU
rnacentral:pre_miRNA from 1 species